rnacentral:rRNA from 1 species
UGCGGCGUGCCUAAUACAUGCAAGUCGUACGCUAGCCGCUGAAUUGAUCCUUCGGGUGAAGUGAGGCAAUGACUAGAGUGGCGAACUGGUGAGUAACACGUAAGAAACCUGCCCUUUAGUGGGGGAUAACAUUUGGAAACAGAUGCUAAUACCGCGUAACAACAAAUCACACAUGUGAUCUGUUUGAAAGGUCCUUUUGGAUCGCUAGAGGAUGGUCUUGCGGCGUAUUAGCUUGUUGGUAGGGUAGAAGCCUACCAAGGCAAUGAUGCGUAGCCGAGUUGAGAGACUGGCCGGCCACAUUGGGACUGAGACACUGCCCAAACUCCUACGGGAGGCUGCAGUAGGGAAUUUUCCGCAAUGCACGAAAGUGUGACGGAGCGACGCCGCGUGUGUGAUGAAGGCUUUCGGGUCGUAAAGCACUGUUGUAAGGGAAGAAUAACUGAAUUCAGAGAAAGUUUUCAGCUUGACGGUACCUUACCAGAAAGGGAUGGCUAAAUACGUGCCAGCAGCCGCGGUAAUACGUAUGUCCCGAGCGUUAUCCGGAUUUAUUGGGCGUAAAGCGAGCGCAGACGGUUUAUUAAGUCUGAUGUGAAAUCCCGAGGCCCAACCUCGGAACUG